AAUUUUGGACAAUGGGGGAAACCCUGAUCCAGCCAACCCGCGUGUUUUAUGAAGGCCUUCGGGUUGUAAAGUACUUUUGGCAGAGAAGAAAAGUUAUCUACUACUACGAGAUACUUCUGACGGUCUCUGCAGAAUAAGCACCGGCUAACUACGUGCCAGCAUCCGCGGUAAUACGUAGGGUGCAAGCGUUAAUCGGAAUUACUGGGCGUAAAGCGUUUGUAGGCGGUUCGGAAAGAAAGAUGUGAAAUCCCAGGGCUCAACCUUGGAACUGCAUUUUUAACUGCCGAGCUAGAGUAUGUCAGAGGGGGGUAGAACUACACGUGUAGCAGUGAAAUGCGUAGAUAUGUGGGGGAAUACCGAUGGCGAAGGCAGCCCCCUGGGAUAAUACUGACGCUCAGACACGAAAGCGUGGGGAGCAAACA
rnacentral:rRNA from 1 species